rnacentral:misc_RNA from 1 species
AACUUUUGGCAACGGAUCACUUGGUUCUGGCAUCGAUGAAGAACGCAGCGAAAUGCGAUAAGUAAUGUGAAUUGCAGAAUUCAGUGAAUCAUCGAAUUUCUGAACGCAUAUUGCGCCCUUUGGCAUUCCGAAGGGCAUACCUGUUCGAGCGUCAUUACACCCCUCAAACUUAGGUUUGAUGUUGGGCAUUGCUGUAAGGGCAUGCCUAAAAAUUAGCGAUGGUAACCUUCAACCACAGGCGCACAAAUGUCGCAAUGUUGGAAGUUGGGGCCAGUCUUUAACAAAAUUUUCUAAAUGUUGACCUCGGAUCAGGUAGGGAUACCCGCUGAACUUAAGCAUAUCAAUAAGCGGAGGCU